CGCAGUCUGCAACUCGACUGCGUGAAGGUGGAGUCGCUAGUAAUCGCGGAUCAGCAACGCCGCGGUGAAUGCGUUCCCGGGCCUUGUACACACCGCCCGUCAAGUCAUGAAAGUGGGCAGCACCCGAAGACGGUGGCCUAACCCUUGUGGGGGGAGCCGUCUAAGGUGAGGCUCGUGAUUGGGACUAAGUCGUAACAAGGUAAC
rnacentral:rRNA from 1 species